UACGUAGGGGGCUAGCGUUGUCCGGAAUCAUUGGGCGUAAAGCGCGUGUAGGCGGCCCGGUAAGUCCGCUGUGAAAGUCGGGGGCUCAACCCUCGAAUGCCGGUGGAUACUGUCGGGCUCGAGUACGGGAGAGGCGAGUGGAAUUCCUGGUGUAGCGGUGAAAUGCGUUGAUAUCAUCAGGAAUACCAGAGGCGAAGGCGGCUCACUGGGGGGUCUUCUGACGCUGAGGAACGAAAGCCAGGGGAGCGAACGGG
rnacentral:rRNA from 1 species